GAGCCCAGGCGAAAGGCAAACAGAUUCAUUCCAGUUGGAGCUCAACUGGAGCCAACAGCUCUAGUUUUCUAAAUUUGUUCUGCCUUUUCUCUCCGUUUAUUUCUGUUGAGAGAAACAAAUAAAAUCAAAAAGUGUCAAAAUUCAGUUUGUUUCAAAGUUUCUCUGUAAACAAUGUGAAAAUUUCAAGAAGUGUUGCAAAAUUACGUUCAGAAGCGGUUUGUAUGUUCUUCGUGUGAAUGGGUGUGAACACAAUAAUGUCGUCACAGCGCAAAAUUUUAAACAGAAGUCCAGAUCAAAAGUUUUACGCGUUUCUAUUUAUCUCUAAUAACCAAGUAUCGUAUUUCGUAACCAAGAUUUGAUGUGAUUGUUUAUUUCACAAUUCGUAACUUUCGAAUGUAUAUUCGCCCAUAGAAUCGGAAACUCUCGGAGUUGAUUGCCCAGCCAAGGGGUAUUUGUUGUCCUUUUCAAUUGCAAGACUCAAUGUGCGUCAAGUUAUAUUCUGAUCAUUCAAAGUUGUCUUUGUGCGUAAAAUUCAACACCCAAAAAAUAAAUGAGAAAUUCCAAAUUCAAAAUGACAUUUUCUAAGCUCGACUUCAUAUUUUAAAUGGCUAAGAAAGGGACCACAAUCAUCGCCACACUCAACGCAAGCCUUGGAUCUUCCCUCUUCUCUUUCCUUUGGCAAUUGUCCGCCUUUUCUUCAGGGAAGAAUCGUAAUAAGAAACUAAUACAAAAUUAUCAAGCUUAUAUAUACAUGGAGAAUCACAACGUCACGGAAGAAGCUGGCCUAGCUCUUAACUACAAAAAUACUAGUCGUAAUAUCAACCAAAAACUGAACCAAAAUAAAAUUAAAUUGGUCCUUUAACAAAUAAGAAGUGCGGCUAUAAUUAUAAAGAAGAAUAAAAAUGCGAGCUUAGACAUA